rnacentral:rRNA from 1 species
AUUGAACGCUGGCGGCAGGCCUAACACAUGCAAGUCGAGCGGGGGUAGCAAUACCCUAGCGGCGAACGGGUGAGGAGUGCUUGGGAAUCUGCCUGGUAGUGGGGGAUAACGUUCCGAAAGGAACGCUAAUACCGCAUACGUCCUACGGGAGAAAGGGGGGGAUCUUCGGACCUCUCGCUAUCAGAUGAGCCCAAGCCGGAUUAGCUAGUUGGUGGGGUAAAGGCCCACCAAGGCGACGAUCCGUAGCUGGUCUGAGAGGAUGAUCAGCCACACUGGAACUGAGACACGGUCCAGACUCCUACGGGAGGCAGCAGUGGGGAAUAUUGGACAAUGGGCGAAAGCCUGAUCCAGCCAUGCCGCGUGUGUGAAGAAGGCCU